AUUGAACGCUGGCGGCAGGCUUAACACAUGCAAGUCGAGCGGAGAUGAGGUGCUUGCACCUUAUCUUAGCGGCGGACGGGUGAGUAAUGCUUAGGAAUCUGCCUAUUAGUGGGGGACAACAUUCCGAAAGGAAUGCUAAUACCGCAUACGCCCUACGGGGGAAAGCAGGGGAUAUUCGGACCUUGCGCUAAUAGAUGAGCCUAAGUCGGAUUAGCUAGUUGGUGGGGUAAAGGCCUACCAAGGCGACGAUCUGUAGCGGGUCUGAGAGGAUGAUCCGCCACACUGGGACUGAGACACGGCCCAGACUCCUACGGGAGGCAGCAGUGGGGAAUAUUGGACAAUGGGCGGAAGCCUGAUCCAGCCAUGCCGCGUGUGUGAAGAAGGCCCUUUGGUUGUAAAGCACUUUAAGCGAGGAGGAGGCUACCUGGAUUAAUACUCUAGGAUAGUGGACGUUACUCGCAGAAUAAGCACCGGCUAACUCUGUGCCAGCAGCCGCGGUAACAC
rnacentral:rRNA from 1 species